AGGACGAACGCUGGCGGCGUGCUUAACACAUGCAAGUCGAGCGGAAAGGCCCUUCGGGGUACUCGAGCGGCGAACGGGUGAGUAACACGUGAGUAAUCUGCCCCUAGCUCUGGGAUAGCUCCGGGAAACCGGGAUUAAUACCGGAUACGACCACCUUAGACAUCUUUUGUGGUGGAAAGAAUUUCGGCUAGGGAUGAGCUCGCGGCCUAUCAGCUUGUUGGUGGGGUAACGGCCUACCAAGGCGACGACGGGUAGCCGGCCUGAGAGGGCGACCGGCCACACUGGGACUGAGACACGGCCCAGACUCCUACGGGAGGCAGCAGUGGGGAAUAUUGCGCAAUGGGCGAAAAGCCUGACGCAGCGACGCCGCGUGGGGGAUGAAGGCCUUCGGGUUGUAAACCCUUUCAGCAGGGACGAAGCGAAAGUGACGGUACCUGCAGAAGAAGCGCCGGCUAACUACGUGCCAGCAGCCGC
rnacentral:rRNA from 1 species